ensembl:lncRNA
UGCAGGUGAGGUUGAAUUCCAUCUCGGUUGCGGCCGCCGCGCGCACUCGGAUACCUCUUUCCACUCUCCUCCUUUCUCCGCACGCCCGCGCCCACCGAGUCCCCAUCUCCCUCCCAGCUCCGAGCGCGCUCCCGCUGCCGCUCCCGCUGCCGCUCGCUCUCUACAGCCGUGGCCGCGAGCGGAGUGCGGCUCGACCCGACGGCGCGCUGUGUAGGUCUGCUGCCUCUCACAUGGAAAGCGCAGCUCCCUAGUUUCCCUUAGCUCGUCUCUCGCACGGCUCUCUGUGUCUCUGGCCGACCGCGACACACGUAGAGCAGUGCAAAACCCCGGGGGCCUGUAUUUGGAAUAAGAAAAGCAUUGCUGCUUUGCGACUGGACGGACGAAAGAAAGGACUCCUCUGACAUUUCCUGUGGAUGUUUUAAUUCGGACGCCUCGUUACCGAGGCUUUGCAGUCAACUGCCUGGGCAUAUAAUGUAACCAGCAGUUCUCCUGCAGGGAGGUUCAGAGGAGUUCUCUUCUUUCUUUUUCUGGUCGUUGGCAGCAAUCGCGAUCAAGCAUUCCAAGCAGUUCUCUUUCCUGAGACGAAAACCGCAGGAUGGCGCUUGGGAAAGGUCUCGGGGGAGAGAAUGUUUCAUGACUUUCACACCUUCAACCUCAAGCUCUUGAACUGUCUGGGAGGUGGCUUGAGUGCUGAAAGGUAAGUUUGAAUUUAUGUUUUAGGACUGUAUUGUACACACACUCACUUGACUUGUCGGUAACACAACCGUUCCAACUGUCGGUACGCAGCAACAUUUUAAACACAGUCCAAUCAACUGCUGUCAAUUACAGGUAGAUCAUUAUCCAAUCAGCCGUUGGCUCUUGGACAAUACUCUGUAGACUGCUUAGAAAAACACAGAUUCACUCAGACCCCGAUAAACAAGCUGUUAAGCAGCAUAAUGAAGUGAUGGCGUUCAUGGCUGGAAUUUAUUGGACCAAUCCGGGUCUGUGCUAACACUGGACCAGAGUGGGGCACCCGGCCCUUCAGAGGGUGUGAGUGUGGAGAAGACCCUAGUACCCCCCUCCCCCCCCCCCCCUCCGAACUGUUUUCAUUAGCCUGGUGCCAGAGAUCUGCGGAGGUCCGCCUUGGUGAUCACGGAUACCAGCGAGCCAAUAAGGACUCGCACUGAACCGCGUCUGACAGAGAUAAAUGGCACAUCGCAGCGUCUGAAACCUCUGUGCGUUGCCUCUGUUACACAUUGACUUUUUAGCAUUGAUGGAAGACAAGCGGACCGCACACAGACCCGAAUAGGCUUUGUGGGGGUGGGGGAAGAGUACGGAGGGUAUAUACGCCGGGUGUGCACGGUGUGUGACGCUGUGUUGCAAAUGAACCAAAUCCGCUUGUCAUUCAGAUGUGUUGUGUGUUUGCUCCUGUGUGAAUGUUCCCGUUUUAAACCAAAACAGAUCUUUGAACAAACGAUAAGCCGCUUGUACAGUGUGGCCAUAUAGCUUAUUAUGCGUACUUGGAUGACGAAGCACAAUGUAUUGGAGGAAUGUGGUGCCUCCAGACAUGUUUGCGUAACAUAUCCCAUGAAUGUUUAAUUAAUAGUUCUGGCAUCCAGACUUUUAAGUGGACCAUGUCUACUUGAUUAAGGGUUUCAAAACAACAACAGCACUUUUUGUUCUCCCUUUCCCUUCAAAAUGACUGUAGCCAGCCGUUGUACAUAAUAAAGUUACCUGGCUACAGUUUUCAGUUCGACCAUGAACUUCCAAACGAAUUAAAACCAUUUCAAACCAAAAAGGCAAAUUGAAUAAUGAACAUUAAAACGACAAUUACUGCACUGCACUGCAAUGAAUAAUGUUUUGCGUCGCUCAUUUUUAAAGACCAGUGUCGGCCUCACUUAAAGACAUAUUUCAGUAAGUAAUCGGCGGGCAUUUGUUCCCCCACGCGUCUCCAGUUUCAUCGGAUCAUAGCGCAGGCAGCGGGCUGGUGAGUCGGAGGCUUAAUGACAGGCCUCUGACGCGUCGUUAGUCUGACGCUCCUGUCUAUCCCUUUUGUUUGGUAGGCUGCCCCUUGCGUCACCUCUGUAUGUGUGUGUGUGUGUUUGUGUGCACCACAUAAGGUUGUGUGAAAUGAAUAUGCGUGUGUGUUGUGCUACGUUGGUCGAUUCCAGGGUGUGUGGCCAUACAUAGAGGAGGCAUAUGUGUGCGUGUGCAUCUGGGGUAAGUGUGUAGAAGUGUGUAGAGUGGAGUGUACCACGUCGGAAGUGUGCGCGUGCAUGUGCGAGCGUGCAUGGGCAUGUAGGUGUGAGCAGGGGGUGUCU